rnacentral:rRNA from 1 species
GAUCCUGGCUCAGGACGAACGCUGGCGGCACGCUUAACACAUGCAAGUCGAACGAGAGAAGAGAAGCUUGCUUUUCUGAUCUAGUGGCGGACGGGUGAGUAACACGUGAGCAAUCUGCCUUUCAGAGGGGGAUACCGAUUGGAAACGAUCGUUAAUACCGCAUAAUAUAAUUGAACCGCAUGAUUUGAUUAUCAAAGAUUUAUCGCUAGAAAGAUGAGCUCGCGU